rnacentral:lncRNA from 1 species
UAUGGAAGUUCCCAGGCUAGGGGUGGAAUCAGGACCUACACCACAGCUCACGGCAACACCAGAUCCUUCAUCCAGUGAGCAAGGCCAGGGACUGAACCCACAUCCUCAUGGAUUCCAGUCAGAUUUGUUUCUGCUAUGCCACGAAGGGAACUCCCGGUUCAGCUCAUCGAGUCUGCCUCCCACGUCACGUUGCAUCAGGGGUUUCUGUGCAUUUUUAGUUUUGAUGUAAUGUCUGUCUUGUUGAAGAAAAUGUUUAGAUGAUCUGUGAGGUGCAUGGCCCCUGUUUGCUGAUGGGAGCCGUUAGGGUAGGGAGGGUGAUGGUCAGCUGGGGAGGCCCAGCCAGGAAGCCCCUCUGGCUCUGCCCGGCCAUUGCCCCCAAGGAGCCCUUUCUUCAGCAUCCCAUGUCCCGCUUUCCUUGGAUUGGCCACAUGGUCAGAGAGAAGCUAAAACACAUGCCACAGAGGGUUUAAAGUGUGGCAAGCAGAUGGUUUACUGAAACCAUCACUCUUAGAACAUGAAAGAGACUCCAAGUGUUUGAAAAAUGUGUAUGUUAAGCCCUGAUUAAAAGUCAGAGCUUAGCCAGAAUGACAAGCUGUGUGUGUUGUGAAAGUAACUUUGCAUUUGUUUGUUUAGCACUAGAGAAAGAGGAAACUUUGCUCUAUGUAUAUAAAAGGUUUGUUUAGUUGUCAGCGCUCAGUUUUUAAGACAAAUAUUUCAUCCUUUUUAUAUUCUUUUAAAGACAACCAUCUGAACGAAGCGCUGUGGCUGGUAAAAGGUGAAAUUGUAUCUGUAGGUAGUAAGAACUCCUGUUUGUGGAAGAAAUCUCGCUUUAACCCUGAAGAGCUGAAAAGGUCAUUCUGAUUAGCAAGGACCUGGCUUAUAGUCGGGUGUUUUAUAAAAGAGAAACUAUUCUUGUGUAUAUGAGAGCUUUUUAAGUUUCGUUUUUAUUAGAGUACAGUUGAUUUACAGAGUUGUGCCAAUUUCUGCUGUGCAGCAGUGACCCAGUCAUCCAUAUGUGUACAUUCUUUUUCUCAUACUACCUUCCAUCAAGUUCUAUCCCAAGACACUGGAUGUAGCUCUCUGUGCUGUACGGUAGGACCUCAUUCUAAAUGGACCGAUUGGUGUGCAUCCCCCGCCAUCCCACUCCCUCCCUUUCCCCCUUGGUGACCACGAGCCUGUUCUCCAUGUCUCUCUGAGUCUGUUUCUGUUCUGUCGAUAGGUUCAUUUGUGCCAUAUUUUAUAUUCCACUUAUAAGUGACAUCACAUGGUGUUUGUCUUUCUCUUUCUGACUUGAGCUUUUUUAAUGUGGAUUUUGUUUUUUCGAGACACACGAUGGUCUCGUAGGCAUCAGGUGCUGGGCCCAGCACUUCCCCACCAUCUGUUCAGCCUUCCCAGCCGCAUAGCUGCGGGGGUGCCGUCUGGAACAGACGCUGCUGCCCAAGGUCAGGCUGAUAAAUAAUAGGGCUGAGAUUUUACCCUCGUUUCUAACUUCAGGAUCAUAAUACCACCAUCUAAAGGAGGAUGCCCUCAACUUUGCAAGAUGGGCCUUUUACACUCAGAGGAUCAGCAACAUCUGGAAGACAGCUGUGAUGGCGGGAUGUAGCAGAUGGGCCUUCCACCUGCGAUCAUCCCUCAGGGAUGAAAAGCGACUGAAGCAGCUCAUCAUCAUGAAAGGUUCUGGAUGCAGAGAAAGGCACGUGGGUCGAGGAGCCAGUACCAGCCCGUGAAAGUGGAAGUAGGGCUGGGGAGAGGCGUAGGGCUGGGGAGAGGCGUAGGGCUGGGGAGAGGCGUAGGGCUGGGGAGAGGCGCGUGGCAGCUCCCCCUCCCCCGGUCUCCCUUGAGCUGGGACACCCUUUUCUUGUCACCUGCCGGAAAGCAGGGCCGAGGAGAGUGGAACAGUCCAAGAACUGUGCUGGCUCUUGGUCCGAAGAGUUGCCAUCUGUAGUGAAAUCUGGCCCCGAGUGGUCCUUAGACUACAGGGAGCUGCCACAAGGCCCACGGCCCUCUGGGUGCUGCCUGCAUGUGGCAGAUCUAGUCACGAACUGGAUGUCCACACACGCCUGAGGCUUGGCAAACAGUACACGUGACAUGUACCCUAACGGCGAGGCCGCCUCUGUUCUCCCUCUGCCCCCGAUCCCUGCUGUGCUGAGCACAGAGUGGCCAUAUGGGGGUGACAUUUUGCAGACUGUCCCUUGCUUCCCUUUGCAUUUGGCCUGACAAUUCAAUUAGAUGCUAGUUCUGCAGAUUCAUUUGAGGAGGCCAGGAAGUGCCCUGGAGGCUGAGCUCAGGCGGCUCCUGCGGGAGCAUCCACCUUAAUUGCGCGGUAAGAUCUGCAUCAGCCAGACCAGCCCCAGCCUCACUUGGAGCCUGGGGUGCUGUGUGCUGUGGGACAGCCCCGCGUCCUUGCCACCCCGUGCUUUGGGGCAGAUUCAGGCUGGCCCUAGAGCCCAACACGCUUACAGUCCCCCCCCCCCCCACAAUGGCAGCAUGUAAAUGGUCCCAUUUCCUGUUCUCUAGGGCUGCUUUUUCUGUAUUUACUAUUGAGUAAUUGUUUUAAAGAAAGUGUUCACAUUUUAUGUCAGGUGGAAUCUGUUUAUGGACUCAGGCUAGGGGUCUAAUCGGAGCUGUAGCCACAGGCCUACGCCAGAGCCACAGCAACGCGGGAUCUGAGCCGCGUCUGAGACCUACACCACAGCUUACAGCAACGCCAGAUCAUUAACCCACUGAGCAAGGCCAGGGAUCGAACCCGCAACCUCAUGGUUCCUAGUCGGAUUCGUUAACCACUGCGCCACGACAGGAACUCCCCAGCUUUCUUUCUAACGUGCCCAGCACUGUCAUGUGUUUUAAUUUGAAUCCAAAGUAUCCAAACUUAAAUAGGAAUUUGAAAAAUUAUUUAGCAUCUGUGUGUCUCGAUGUCCUCAACUGACGUCCAGGAGGGAGAUGCUGAACCAGGGGCUCAGACAGGCCCCGCGGUGUGGGUCUGGGGACUCCUCGUGCUGAGCUGAGCUUUCCACUCGCUUCUGUUUGUCAUGUCCUGUGAGGUAGACUUGCCUUCUACCCUUUCCGUGCUGCUGGCCAGGCUUUUCAGAUGAGAUUGCUUUUGUUUUGGUGGUUGUAGUGGUGAUUUUUACUGCUCUUGGUUUUGGAAUCCCAAGCCUGGCCAGUUAUAACCAGAACUUGAUCGCUGCCGGCAGUACGUCGUCCAGCUGACUGUGUGGCCAAGUCCACCGCCCGCUUCCCAGUUAACGAUCAACGGAGCUAGAGCCUUUCUCACCCCGACGGGCAGCACCUCUGCGCUGCUGCUCCUUGUCCUUCCACGAUGCUGCAAAGUUUUCUCAGCUGCAGAGAGUAACUGUCACCUGGAAACUUCGAGCCACCUCCAGCUAAACAGCAAAGUCAGCGGUGAGCACGGGGUGACCCUGAGCUUUACCCCCUCUGAGUACUGAUGAGGGGGAACUUCUGGAGAAUUUGGUUAAGUGGAUUUCACAGGGAAAGAUGAGAACUCUAUCUUCUUUGACCGAACAUUCAGUAACAGCGACAGAGUCGUUGUCUUGUGGGAGGUGAAUGACUUGCUUUUCUGGUCUUGGUGGCGGGUCUGGAGCCUCGUUGCUUUUGAGGAAACCUCUUCCUGGUUCUCUUGGCCACCCUUCUCCCUCCCCGGCCUGAAAUUGCUGGCACCCAGCUUGUCCCCUGACAGGAGAGUCCCUGCCGGCGGGUGCUGUCGGGAGGCUCGCUGGGGUCCCCCCUUGCCCACUGCGUGCUGUGCACAGCGCUUCUGCCUCCAGGUGGCAGAAUCGGGGUGUGGCAGGAGCGCCCUGGUCCAGGGACUGGGGCCGUGGGAGAGCUCCUCUCCUGAAGACAAGGUGACACGGACAAAGUGUGCGUCUCGGGAAGCAGGGACCCCGAGCCCCGGCAUGGCCAGGGCCCGCUCCUGAGUCUUCCCACACGGAUCCCGCCAGCCACGAGCUUGCUCUCUCUCCUGUCUUUUCUGGGGUCCAUUUUCCCUCCAUCAUGUGGAAUUCAAAAAGUCAGAUCACUUCCCCCUUUGAGGCACAAUUUCUUGCUCCCUGGAGGAGAAUGAGGCCGCAUCCCUCCAGCCUGAUGCUGCGGCUGGGGUGCCUCCGGGGUUACUGUGAACGCUGGCCUUGACCCGUUAGCGCACUGGCCUGAGUGCAGGGCAGCUUCUCAACUUGUGCAGUGACCGUCGGGUCCCUUGGUGUGUGUGUGUGUGUGCGCGUGCGCGCGCGCGCACACACACACACACACACACACACACACACACACACACACACACACACACACACACACACACACGAGGUAGGGCCAUAGCUCCUGAUUAAGGAGGAGAAUGGCUCCAUCUCUGUCCACUUGGCAGAGAGGGCAGGUGGAGACAAGAGUGAAUGCCAGCACCACCCCCGCCCAGCCCUUUCCUGAGCGAAAGGUGCCCUCACUCAUACUGUACACAUGCUCUUUGUAAAAACUCUUACCUGGUCCAACAGCAGAAGUGAUGACAAGGAUGAGACCUACUGCAAAGGGACUGAGGAUAAACGUUUUCUGAAAUGAUGAAACAUUUCUGAAAAGCAGAAUCUCUGCGUGGGAAGAAUAAGUCGCAGGAACAGUGGGAAGAGCAGGAAGCCCAGAUGACAGCAGGGUUUUGUGAAAACAAAACAGCUACUUCUUGCGCCUCUGUCCUCAUAUUGAACAUACAUAUGCACACAGGCAAUCCUGUGGAGAUCCUGGGCCCCCAAACAGCCAGCCCCUGGCAGCUGGCACAUCAGCUCCCCCAGACGGAGCCCAGUGGACUGCGGCUUGGGGUCAGGCACGGUGCUCCUGCCACAAAUGGCCUCUCCCUCAGCAGCCCUCAACUCAGCGGCUCACAACCCUGGCCGAUCCCUGGGAUCAUUUUAACAGCUUUCAUACCCCAGGGCCUCCCCCAGAGGGAUGACUGCAGACUCUGCAAAUGAUACUUAAAAAACCCCCUCCAGUGCCUUAACAUGACUUAAGAAAUAUUGGAGCUAGUUCUUUCCCUUUAAUGUUCUUGUUUGUAAAAUGCAAGCUUCCCGCCUGAGUCUUCGAGGUUUGACAGCUCUUGGUGCUGUUUGUUUGUUCUGAUUGUUGGGCACGCAGGCAGGAAGCAGGCACAGCCCUGCCCUCCUCUCUCCGUUGGUACCGUCGGGUGAGGACAGAGCCAGUGGUCACUCUCGGUGGGUGGACCGCCCCUCCAGGUACCAUGACCGGCCUCGCUCUUCCCUGCCUUGCUUGUCAUCGACCCGAACUUUCCUCUGGGACCCCCUUUCCGGACGCGACAUUUAACCACCGCUGGCCGGCGCCUCAACCUAUGAUCUGUUCUGUACCAGAUGACGUGCCCCUGCCCCGUGCCUUCCCCUCUCCUGCUCUCUGCGUCCACCCCUCUGACUCCUAAGUAGCCCCUGCUCUGGCCCGGUUCCAUAGUAAAUCCUGACAAUAGUAAACUAGUGAAUCACCCACCACUUCCCCUGGACCUCUCGGAAGCGCUCCGAGCAGAGCGGCCUCACCCUAACGCACCUGUCGCGUCCUGAGGAGCAGACAGGGCUGCGCGGCGACCCCAGCUCUUCACUGCUGUGUCCAGACCACCGGGCUCCCCUCCUGAGGCUUCUCCUUCAGCGACCUUGAGGAUGACCUUUAGACCCAGAGACCUGCAGCUCGGGGUCCUUUCCUACUCGUUCCCAAGGUGAUGGGGUUAUUUCAGCUCAGAAAACCUCAAGGCUCAUAUCAGAAACCCAAACUUAACGCUCAUCUUACCCUGCUUUGCUUUGCAGCUAGUGUGCUUUUCACAAAUGGAAGGUUUGUGGCAACUGGAAGGUUUGUGGCACCCCGACGUCAAGCAAGCCUGUCAGAGCCAUUUCCCUGCAGUGGCUUCUCCCUCUGUGUCUCUGGGUCACUUCCCGUAAUUCUUGCAAUAUUUGGAAUUUUGUCAUUAUUGGUUUGUUACAGUGACCCGUGAAUAGUGUCUCUGAUGCUCUUAUUGCACAAAGAUGACCACUCGCUGAAGUCCCAGAGGAUGAUUUGCGUUUUUUAGCAGUUGAGUAUUUUUAAACUAAGGUAUGUGCUUUGCUCUUGGGGCAUGAGGCGCCUGCACACCUAGGCGACGGCAGUAGAGUGCAAACACGACCUUUAUGUGCACCGGGAACCCGCGAACUCUGCCUGAUUCGCUUGGUUUAGGUUUUCACUUCUUCUGGAACCAAGCCCGAAAUGCCUCUGGGGCGCCCUGGACGCUGGUUUUCUAAAACAAUGAGCAGCUAGUGUUGCACGAACACUCUGUACCGUUCAUUUUUUUCAUGAUGAGGCUGCUGCCCCUCUUCCCUCCCGGUUGGAUUCUGGUGUUCCUUCUGGGCCCGGUCUCUCUGGGUCACCUCUCCAGAGCGUCCAGGGCUGCCCCUGUCGCGGUUCUGGUGAAGGCCGAAAGCUGGCUUUGGUAACUUACUGUGUUCGGAAGCGGGCCGUCUGUCUGGAGCCGGCAGCAUCUCCCCGGGCCCCGGGCACCGCCUCCGGGACUCCACGCGUUUGGCCAUGCCCAGGUAGCGAGGGGCCAGGCCAGCCCACGAGCCCCAUGUGCUGUGCUUGGCCGGGCACUGUCAUUCCUCCUGCACUUUUGCAGCUUCUAGCCCUUUUCCUCUGCUGAUUUAGGUAACAUUUCCUUUGUAAAUCCUUCAUAAAAUGAAGACUUUCAACUUGUAGUUAAGCUCAUUUUCCCGCUCUAGCCAGUUAUCUGUGUCUAAGUGCUUGAUAGGACUUCAGAACCCUGGGGCGCGUACCUGUGUGUGUGGAGAUCUGCUUGUGGGUCGAGCUGGCACGCCCGCGGACUAAAGCCCGAGAGCAUAGUGUGGGGACGAGCCGGCUCUGCCAUUCAUGCUCAGUUUCCCGGCUCCUUUGUAAAAAUUCUAUCAAGCUGUAUGGGAGUCAGGUGAUGGAGAUGACCCGUUCCUUAAAAGCGAGUUCUAUUUAUGGAUAUUUGACUUUCAGAAGACAGGAAGGUCAUGAACCCUGGCAUAUAGGUUCCCUUGGAAAUGAGAUGGCCCCCUCCCUUGCAUGGUGACCAAGUCUGGGCUGUGUUCGCAUCUGCCAGCCCCGGGGCGGCUGUGAGGGGUGCCCGUGGCCCAGCUGAGGCUGGCAGGGCAUCAGGGCGGCCGUGUUGCUUGAUCGCUCCCUUCCUGAAGUUCCUGGAAGCUCUGCCCAGAUGAGAUGUUAAUAAAGCUGCCCUGCGCGUGCUGUGCAGUGGAGCCGGUGGAAUGGAAUGACUGCAACGUGAGUUCCUCACCCCGGCUCCUCACCAGCCUCCAGAGGCAUGUCAUCAUCCUCCUCUGCCCGAAAAGGAAGUGGAAUCAAGAGAGACUCUGCGACUUUCCCAAGGCCCGAGCCUGUGCGCUCUCUGGAGCUUGAAUAACUGGUUCUGGAAUUGUAGCUUGCAGGGAAACGCCCCAGAAUCUCCGGAGGGGCCUGAUGGCACGUGCCUGGAGUGCCCAGCUCCAGCCUCCUGCCCGCUCCUUGCCUGAGGCUCCACAUCCUGGGGGGAGGAAGGCGACAUGGUCCCUGUGAGAAUGACCUCAGCUGACGGAGCUCCCCCCAAACUUCCCGCCCACCAUGGUAAUAAUAACGCAGCAAAACAAAACUCACCAGCCCACAUAUCCACCAGAGAGCAAAUGGGGAAGUAAAUUGCCCUUGCUCACCGACAGGGAGUUCCUGUACAGCUCCUGCGCAGAGCCCUUCCGAGGCCCCGGGUGGGCCUUGCAGGCUGCUGGCAGGGCCUCCUGGUUUAUGAAAUUUGCGUAAGGAGAACGUCUUGUGAUUUGCUUGUCAUUCCACGUGUUCGCUUUCACGCUGUGCCUAAUUUUGGAUGCGCGAGUCUCGAGGCCCACAAACCCCGUGUCCUAUCCACAGUCACCCAGCAGCCCUGCACAGCAGCAAGCAGAUGGCACUAGGUCAGUGUGGCCAUUGAGCCGCGGCCAAGAUGUAGUCUGUGCUUUGCACCAGCAUCCGUAGGACAAUCCAGUUUGUGAAAAGAAAUGAGCCAUAUUCGUGUUCACCUGAGCCCCUUUGAAGCAGCUUUUAGCCCUGCCUGUCCCCUUUUGUAGCCUUGGUCUUCUCUGGAACUUCAAAAGUGAUAUUGACUCUGUUAUUUUUUCUAAUUAGGAAGAAUUUAUUUUAUAAGAAGUUUGAAAAAAUUACAAGUAUAAUGAGAAUCUGUUCUGAGAUCCUGCUGCUAACAUUUAAAGGUGGUGUCUCUUCCAGCGCAGACCCCCAGCUGCCCUUUGCCUUGGGGUGUGGUCGCUGGAGCAAAGAAUCUCCUUUAUUUAAAAAAUGAUGGUGCAGGUAGCUUUAUUAGAAAUGGAAAGGUCGUUGAGUUUUUUCCAACACCUAAACAGGCUGUGUUUCUCAGAAUAAACAAUUUGUGGCCUGGCUGGGACCGGGGGCGGGGACCAGUCCUGUUUUCCUACUGGGAGUGUGCUGGCUUAACAGCAUAUUUCUAAAGACCUAAAAACACGCAUGGCCUUCCAACACUCAAGGAUUGGUUGACUAUAUAACUUGACUCUAUAUGAUGAAAUACUCCUCAGCCAGUAAAAAAAAAAAAAAAAAAA